rnacentral:rRNA from 1 species
GCCCAGACUCCUACGGGAGGCAGCAGUGGGGAAUAUUGCACAAUGGGGGAACCCUGAUGCAGCGACGCCGCGUGAAGGAUGAAGUAUUUCGGUACGUAAACUUCUAUCAGCAGGGAAGAAAAUGACGGUACCUGACUAAGAAGCCCCGGCUAACUACGUGCCAGCAGCCGCGGUAAUACGUAGGGGGCAAGCGUUAUCCGGAUUUACUGGGUGUAAAGGGAGCGUAGACGGGCCAGCAAGUCUGAUGUGAAAACCCGGGGCCCAACCCCGGGAGUGCAUUGGAAACUGCGGGCCUGGAGUGCCGGAGAGGUAAGCGGAAUUCCUAGUGUAGCGGUGAAAUGCGUAGAUAUUAGGAGGAACACCAGUGGCGAAGGCGGCUUACUGGACGGUAACUGACGUUGAGGCUCGAAAGCGUGGGGAGCAAACAGGAUUAGAUACCCUUGUAA